UUGACCGCCAAUGUCCUCGAAACCAGCCACCGGCAAGCGCGAGCAGGUGCGUGGCGAAACACACUUCGAGGUGUCACGCUUCGAGGCGAGCAAGUACGUUGGUGGCAAGCUACAGUUUUUAGUAAAAUUCAAGGGAUUUCCUAAAGCGGAAUGGCUGCCUGCAGGAGGACCUGAGCGCCGACGCCUAUCGCGCGCUGCACAAGGCGAUGAAAGCAACGUGAUGCAUCCCUGUUUAUAUAUCUCGCAAAGUAUAUCAAAUUCUGUCGUUAUUUUCUACGCUGUCGCAGUCUGGUGCGACUGGGGAGUUUUGCCGGAAUUUCGCCCGAGUUUCGGCUGAGUUUCUGAGUUUCUCGCGAGUUUCUGUCGAGUUUUUGCCGAGUUGUAACGGAAUGCUACCGCCAAUUUCCGCCGAGUUCCCCUGCGCCCCGCCCGCGCGUGCACACCAGCGACUCUCAUGCACUCCAGCGAGUCCCGCCCGCGCUGCUGCCC
rnacentral:lncRNA from 1 species